ensembl:lncRNA
CCCCACUUUCUAGAUGAGGACAUUGAAAAUCCUGAGAGAUCCGGUGACAGGCCACCUAAGAAGCUGGGAUCCAGGUUUCAAUGGCCAGUGUGCCUUUGCUGCACGGACCACAGCCUUAGCUGACCUCAGCUGAGUUGCUCACCUGUCACUUCGAGCCUUCAACAGACACUAAAGCCUAGAGUUGUUCCAUGUGGGGGGAUCUUCCCGAGCCGGGGAUUGAACCUACAUCUCCAGCGUCUCCUGCAUUAGCAGGGUGAUGCUUGCUGCUGCUGCUGCUGCUGCUGCUAAGUUACUUCAGUCAUGUCCGACUCUGUGUGACCCCAUAGACAGCAGCCCACCAGGCUCCCCGGUCCCUGGGAUUCUCCAGGCAAGAACACUGGAGUGGGUUGACAUUUCCUUCUCCAAUGAAUGAAAGUGAAAAGUGAGAGGG